rnacentral:rRNA from 1 species
AGAGUUUGAUCCUGGCUCAGAACGAACGCUGGCGGCAUGCCUAACGCAUGCAAGUCGAACGGGAUCCUAGCUUCGGUUAGGUAAGAGUGGCGGACGGGUGAGUAACGCGUGGGAACCUGCCCAGAGGUACGGAAUAACAGUUGGAAACGACUGCUAAUACCGUAUGAGCCCGAGAGGGGAAAGAUUUAUCGCCUUUGGAGGGGCCCGCGUCAGAUUAGGUAGUUGGUGGGGUAAAGGCCUACCAAGCCUACGAUCUGUAGCUGGUCUGAGAGGAUGAUCAGCCACACUGGGACUGAGAUACGGCCCAGGCUCCUACGGGAGGCAGCAGUGGGGAAUAUUGGACAAUGGGGGCAACCCUGAUCCAGCAAUGCCGCGUGAGUGAUGAAGGCCUUAGGGUUGUAAAGCUCUUUUGCCAGGGACGAUGAUGACGGUACCUGGAGAAUAAGCCCCGGCUAACUUCGUGCCAGCAGCCGCGGUAAUACGAAGGGGGCUAGCGUUGUUCGGAAUUACUGGGCGUAAAGGGCGCGUAGGCGGUUUGACCAGUCAGGUGUGAAAUUCCCGGGCUUAACCUGGGGGCUGCACUUGAUACUGUCAGGCUUGAAUUCGGGAGAGGAUAGCGGAAUUCCCAGUGUAGAGGUGAAAUUCGUAGAUAUUGGGAAGAACACCGGUGGCGAAGGCGGCUAUCUGGACCGACAUUGACGCUGAGGCGCGAAAGCGUGGGGAGCAAACAGGAUUAGAUACCCUGGUAGUCCACACUGUAAACGAUGAUUACUAGGUGUUGGAGGAUUGACCCCUUCAGUGCCGCAGUUAACACAAUAAGUAAUCCAUCUGGGGAGUACGACCGCAAGGUUGAAACUCAAAGGAAUUGACGGGGGCCCGCACAAGCAGUGGAGUAUGUGGUUUAAUUCGACGCAACGCGAAGAACCUUACCAAGUCUUGACAUCCAUCGACGACUAUAGAAAUAUAGUUUUCCUUCGGGACGGUGAGACAGGUGGUGCAUGGUUGUCGUCAGCUCGUGUCGUGGGAUGUUGGGUUAAGUCCCGCAACGAGCGCAACCCUUAUGGUCAGUUACUACGCAAGAGGACUCUGGCCAGACUGCCGUUGACAAAACGGAGGAAGGUGGGGAUGACGUCAAAUCAUCAUGCCCUUUAUGACUUGGGCUACACACGUACUACAAUGGCGUUAAACAAAGAGAAGCAAGACCGCGAGGUGGAGCAAAACUCAGAAACAACGUCCCAGUUCGGACUGCAGGCUGCAACUCGCCUGCACGAAGUCGGAAUUGCUAGUAAUCGCAGAUCAGCAUGCUGCGGUGAAUACGUUCCCGGGCCUUGUACACACCGCCCGUCACACCAUGAGAGCCGGGGGGACCCGAAGUCGGUAGUCUAACCGCAAGGAGGACGCCGCCGAAGGUAAAACUGGUGAUUGGGGUGAAGUCGUAACAAGGUA